rnacentral:rRNA from 1 species
UACAGAGGUCCCAAGCGUUGUUCGGAUUCACUGGGCGUAAAGGGUGCGUAGGUGGUGAGGUAAGUCGGAUGUGAAAGCUCGGAGCUCAACUCCGAAAUGGCAUUGGAAACUACCUUGCUCGAGGGUUGGAGGGGGGACUGGAAUGCUUGGUGUAGCAGUGAAAUGCGUAGAUAUCAAGCGGAACACCAGUGGCGAAGGCGAGUCCCCGGACAACUCCUGACACUGAGGCACGAAAGCUAGGGGAGCAAACAGG